GAUGAACGCUGGCGGCGUGCCUAAUACAUGCCAGUCGAGCGAACGGACGAGAAGCUUGCUUCUCUGAUGUUAGCGGCGGACGGGUGAGUAACACGUGGAUAACCUACCUAUAAGACUGGGAUAACUUCGGGAAACCGGAGCUAAUACCGGAUGAUAUUUUGAACCGCAUGGUUCAAAAGUGAAAGACGGUCUUGCUGUCACUUAUAGAUGGAUCCGCGCUGCAUUAGCUAGUUGGUAAGGUAACGGCUUACCAAGGCAACGAUGCAUAGCCGACCUGAGAGGGUGAUCGGCCACACUGGAACUGAGACACGGUCCAGACGCCUACGGGAGGCAGCAGUAGGGAAUCUUCCGCAAUGGGCGAAAGCCUGACGGAGCAACGCCGCGUGAGUGAUGAAGGUCUUCGGAUCGUAAAACUCUGUUAUUAGGGAAGAACAUAUGUGUAAGUAACUGUGCACAUCUUGACGGUACCUAAUCAGAAAGCCACGGCUAACUACGUG
rnacentral:rRNA from 1 species